rnacentral:rRNA from 1 species
AUAAGUAACGAUAAAGCGGGUGAAAAGCCCGCUCGCCGGAAGACCAAGGGUUCCUGUCCAACGUUAAUCGGGGCAGGGUGAGUCGACCCCUAAGGCGAGGCCGAAAGGCGUAGUCGAUGGGAAACGGGUUAAUAUUCCCGUACUUGGUGUUACUGCGAAGGGGGGACGGAGAAGGCUAUGUUGGCCGGGCGACGGUUGUCCCGGUUUAAGCGUGUAGGUGUGUGUUCCAGGUAAAUCCGGUUCACUUUAACACUGAGGCGUGACGACGAGGCACUACGGUGCUGAAGCAACAAAUGCCCUGCUUCCAGGAA